rnacentral:lncRNA from 1 species
UUGGCUUGUAGCCAGCUAAUUCAGUAACUAUAGUAAGUAACAAAGAAACAGAAGAGCUUUUGAGUGUAUGAGAGAAAUAAACUAAUGUGUGAGUGUAUGUCUAAGACUGUAGAAGAGAGCCAUAUAUAUAAUAAUUUGAAAGCUAGGUAAAAUAAGGUAAUAAUCAAAUUGUCUAGUAAUUAUAGAACUCAGAGUAAAAUCAGUUCAAGCCCUCCAUUGAUUAAGGGAAUUAGUUUAAACGGUAAACAGCAUGUGACAAGUAAGGAAAGAAAUUAUUCGUAACUGGAAUAUAACAAAUAAGGAAAGACUUCAAAUAGUGCAACUAUAGAACAUGUAAUUAGGGCUAGGUUUAGAAAGUUCUAAUUAAAGAAAUAAUUAGUAAAAAUCAAGUAACAAUGCAGACAAGGUAAGGGAAAAUUAAUUAAGGCAAGCAAAUCAAUGAGAUUGAGUAGAAAGGUAAGAAUCGAAGGCUCAAGGGAAAGUGUUCAAGUCAACCCAAGAAAUAAGGAAUUCAAAAUAUUACAUAGCUCAAUCAAAGAAAAAGUCAUGAAAACGGUCAGCAAGUUCAAAAUAUAAAUAAGGCAAAACAUAUAGUUAAGAAUCGACACAUAACUCUAGCAAAAAUAAAAGUUUAACAAUCAAUAAGAAUGAGGCAAAUCUUGAUGUGAACAGUCAAGAUGAAGCACAUAGAACCAAUGAAAGUUUACACUAAGAAACUAAGUAGAAGCAUAUCAAGGCAACACAGUCACGAAAAAUAACAAAAAUUCAAAACAAGAACCAGUCA